GCCUGGUUAGUACUUGGAUGGGAGACGCGCCUGGGAAUACCAGGU
rnacentral:rRNA from 1 species